CCUCGCCCGCGUCACGAUCCACCAGCACAACCAGGCAACGCUGCUCGUUCCUCCUCUGUCGCCCCUCGAAUUUACACUUCUCGUGUCAACCCAGUACCCACGUAGCCGUCGCCCCUCCUCUGCCAGCACCCUGUUUCGCCGUCACCCCUCCUGUUGUGCCCAGCGUCGCUGCCAGCAUGUUGCGAUCAAUGGCUCUGAAAGUUGUGAGGGAAGAAUCAUGGCCCCAUAUUGUUCGGCUGGCCCAAGCCCUAAUAAGAGUGCGAGCUUUCUCGGCCACCAUGUUACCUCCAUCCAAGGCCGUUGUCUACGAUCACCACGGUCCACCAGAUUCUGUCACCAGGUCCACCAGUGCGAGCUUUUUCAUUUUUUUUCUUGUUUUCAUCGGUUCAUAAACUCUUUUCGAAAAUGACGCUUUUUAUGAUGUGGGUGAUUUUUGCUUCCAAAAUUUCUAAGGUUCUUGGGCAAGUUCUGUGUUUUUUUUUUUUUGGCUUCCACCCCGACGUAUUAUUCCAUUUUUUACCUUGUUUUUGCUCUCUUUUUUUUGGGUUCCAUCUUGAAAAUGCUGUACUUGUUUUGAGAGAAUCUGCCGGUUUGAACGUGUUUGGGUGCAGAGAAGAUCCUAGAAAAGAAAAGUAUCAAUCUACAUUUUUUGAAAAAUAAUAGCAAUUGUCGGUUUCUUCUAUUUUCCUAUAUUAUUAUUUUUGGAGGUACCAAGGCAAUGCUGUCCUAAUUCUUGUUCCUUAACCGGGUUACGUUUCUUCUUCUUUUUUUUCCCUCUUUUUUCUUUUUUAGGUUUUUUUUCUUUUAAGGUUUCAACAUAAACGAGAAUUUCUUUUGGUAAGUGUGUCUGCAUGCGUGAGAGUGAGAGGAAAUUUUCUCUUUUUUAUGUAACAUUUUGUGCGUUAAUUUAGUGAGUAAUUAAAAGAGAUGCCCAAGGUGUGAGAGUAGUGUACUCACUUGAAGUUGGAAGGAGAAGUAUUGCUCUUGCGGUUUGCGUGCGGUGUUUUGUAUUCUAGAUAGAAUUGUUCUGGCUGCAUGGAAAAGAACACCCAAAUUAAAAAUUUGAAAUCAUGUUGUCAUUUUGGUUCUUUCAGCUGUUGCAUAGGUGCUCUUUCAGCAAUGGUUCAUUGUAGUUUGUUCAUUUGGUACCCAAGGGAAAAAGGCAUGCCAUGCCAGAUGGGAAUUCCAUCACAAUGGUACAUAAUGUUAGCUUAUCUCAAAAACUUACCCCAAUCCUUGAUAAAGUGUUACAUUUGUGGUUUUAUACUUGUAAUAUAUUUUGCCUGGGUUUUGUGGCAUUUGGUGGUUGAAUCCAUUUUCAGAAAUGUUAUCUGCUUUAGUAUGUGAGAUAGGAACUAAUAUAAAGCUUUUUUUUUUUUUUAAAUGCAUGUUUGCCACUAUUUGGAUUUAUUCUGAUGUGAGAAUGCUAGAUUUUCAGAAUAAGAAGAGUAUGAUGUUGCUUAUGGUGUGAUUUAUUCAGAUCAAAGACUUCAUUAAGGAUACUAGAAAUUGAUGCAAUCCCAUCCUUAUGUGAAGCUUGAAGAAAACCUGUCUUUACAAGCAGCCUUUAAUGGCAAGAUUGUUGUGCACGAGGAGGUAGAUCUUUUCUGGGGCUUGGGCUUGGGUUGUGCAUGCCCAGGUGGGUGCACAUGGUCUGUAUCCCAUACUGUAGUACCAGUUAAUCUGUGCUUACAUUCAGCUUUGACCUGAUGGAAGAGCUGAUGGUUUUUUUAGUAUCUGUUCUCUAUGGUUAUUACUAAGUUUUGAGUCUUCUGGCAAGUUAUUACAACUGAGUGUAAGCAUCAGUUAGUUGCAAGGCUAGCUUUGUCGUUGGGAGCUUUUAUUGAAGUUAAGGUGUCUGAUGAGCAGCAGGCAGUACUGAUAUCAAAACUCUGAAGUCCUUUUGCAUUCAGUUUGAUGUGGAGCAUAAGCAAAUAACAUAGUUGCUGUGUUUAUCCAAUCAGAUCUUGGUGGUAAUGUGGACAACUAUUUUAGAGUAUAAUUCUGGUAUGCUCGGUUGUAAUGCUUGGCUGUAAUUGUGGACAAAUCUUGGUUGUAGUUGUGAACAAAUAUUGUUAAGUGUAAUGCUGUGGACAGAUUGGUUAUUGUAAUUAUAGAAAUAUUUUGCUUGUUAGUUUA